rnacentral:rRNA from 1 species
CCUACGGGAGGCAGCAGUGAGGAAUAUUGGUCAAUGGACGAGAGUCUGAACCAGCCAAGUAGCGUGAAGGAUGACUGCCCUAUGGGUUGUAAACUUCUUUUAUAUGGGAAUAAAAUGUUCCACGUGUGGGAUUUUGUAUGUACCAUAUGAAUAAGGAUCGGCUAACUCCGUGCCAGCAGCCGCGGUAAUACGGAGGAUCCGAGCGUUAUCCGGAUUUAUUGGGUUUAAAGGGAGCGUAGGUGGAUUGUUAAGUAAGUUGUGAAAGUUUGCGGCUCAACCGUAAAAUUGCAGUUGAAACUGGCAGUCUUGAGUACAGUAGAGGUGGGCGGAAUUCGUGGUGUAGCGGUGAAAUGCUUAGAUAUCACGAAGAACUCCGAGUGCGAAGGCAGUUCACUGGACUGCAACUGACACUGAGGCUCGAAAGUGUGGGUAUCAAACAGGAUUAGAUACCCGUGUAGUC